AGAGUUUGAUCMUGGCUCAGCAAGUCGAGCGGGGAAGGUUGCUUCGGUAACUAACCUAGCGGCGGACGGGUGAGUAAUGCUUAGGAAUCUGCCUAUUAGUGGGGGACAACAUUCCGAAAGGAAUGCUAAUACCGCAUACGUCCUACGGGAGAAAGCAGGGGAUCAUUUGACCUUGCGCUAAUAGAUGAGCCUAAGUCGGAUUAGCUAGUUGGUGGGGUAAAGGCCUACCAAGGCGACGAUCUGUAGCGGGUCUGAGAGGAUGAUCCGCCACACUGGGACUGAGACACGGCCCAGACUCCUACGGGAGGCAGCAGUGGGGAAUAUUGGACAAUGGGGGGAACCCUGAUCCAGCCAUGCCGCGUGUGUGAAGAAGGCCUUUUGGUUGUAAAGCACUUUAAGCGAGGAGGAGGCUCUCUUGGUUAAUACCUGAGAAGAGUGGACGUUACUCGCAAAAUAAGCACCGGCUAACUCUGUGCCAGCAGCCGCGGUAAUACAGAGGGUGCGAGCGUUAAUCGGAUUUACUGGGCGUAAAGCGCGCGUAGGUGGCUAAUUAAGUCAAAUGUGAAAUCCCCGAGCUUAACUUGGGAAUUGCAUUCGAUACUGGUUGGCUAGAGUAUGGGAGAGGAUGGUAGAAUUCCAGGUGUAGCGGUGAAAUGCGUAGAGAUCUGGAGGAAUACCGAUGGCGAAGGCAGCCAUCUGGCCUAAUACUGACACUGAGGUGCGAAAGCAUGGGGAGCAAACAGGAUUAGAUACCCUGGUAGUCCAUGCCGUAAACGAUGUCUACUAGC
rnacentral:rRNA from 1 species